GAUGAACGCUGGCGGCGUGCCUAAUACAUGCAAGUAGAACGCUGAAGGAGGAGCUUGCUCUUCUGGAUGAGUUGCGAACGGGUGAGUAACGCGUAGGUAACCUGCCUGGUAGCGGGGGAUAACUAUUGGAAACGAUAGCUAAUACCGCAUGACAACAGUUAUUGCAUGAUAACUGUUUAAAAGGGGCAACUGCUCCACUACCAGAUGGACCUGCGUUGUAUUAGCUAGUUGGUGAGGUAACGGCUCACCAAGGCGACGAUACAUAGCCGACCUGAGAGGGUGAUCGGCCACACUGGGACUGAGACACGGCCCAGACUCCUACGGGAGGCAGCAGUAGGGAAUCUUCGGCAAUGGACGGAAGUCUGACCGAGCAACGCCGCGUGAGUGAAGAAGGUUUUCGGAUCGUAAAGCUCUGUUGUAAGAGAAGAACGAGUGUGAGAGUGGAAAGUUCACUCUGUGACGGUAUCUUACCAGAAAGGGACGGCUAACUACGUG
rnacentral:rRNA from 1 species